rnacentral:rRNA from 1 species
UACGAAGGGAGCUAGCGUUGUUCGGAAUCACUGGGCGUAAAGCGCACGUAGGCGGAUUUGUUAGUCAGGGGUGAAAUCCCGGGGCUCAACCUCGGAACUGCCUUUGAUACUGCAAAUCUCGAGUCCGGAAGAGGUGGGUGGAAUUCCUAGUGUAGAGGUGAAAUUCGUAGAUAUCAGGAGGAACACCGGUGGCGAAAGCGGCUUCCUGGCCCGACACUGACGCUCAUGUACGAAAGCGUGGGGAGCGAACAGG